rnacentral:tRNA from 2 species
GCUCCCGUGGUGUAGUCCGGCCCAUCAUCUCGGCCUCUCGAGCCGAAAACCCGGGUUCAAAUCCCGGCGGGAGCACCA